AUGGCGACCACCCCUCGCAGAGCUGCAACCCAGACCACACCACCAUCGCUGGAAGGAAACAUGACGCCCACUGCAAGCCGCCGAGCGGGAACACCACUGAAGAACACUGACGACCCAGCACCAACGUCGCAGCCCCAGCCAUCACCUCCACCAUCCCAAGGCGGCGCCUUCAAGAAGAACAACGACGCCGGUGCGCCGUCACCGCCCAAUCCAAAGAUUUUGGGCUUUCACCCGGGGUAUGUUGGUGGAGUGCAGGAGCAGGAUCUCGAUGCCACCUACAAGAGAGGGGACGACGCCCGGAGCGUCGCUGACACCGUGGCCACCGCCGCCGGCCAAGGGGUUACCCCGAACCAGAGCUCCUAG
rnacentral:rRNA from 1 species